rnacentral:tRNA from 1 species
UCCCUGGUGGCUCAGAUGGUAAAAGCAUCUGCCUACAAUGCAGGAGACCCAGGUUUGAUCCCUGGGUUGGGAA